GGUCCGGCCGGGAACUCAAAGGAGACUGCCAGUGAUAAACUGGAGGAAGGUGGGGAUGACGUCAAGUCAUCAUGGCCCUUACGAGUAGGGCUACACACGUGCUACAAUGGCGCAUACAAAGAGAAGCGACCUCGCGAGAGCAAGCGGACCUCAUAAAGUGCGUCGUAGUCCGGAUUGGAGUCUGCAACUCGACUCCAUGAAGUCGGAAUCGCUAGUAAUCGUGGAUCAGAAUGCCACGGUGAAUACGUUCCCGGGCCUUGUACACACCGCCCGUCACACCAUGGGAGUGGGUUGCAAAAG
rnacentral:rRNA from 1 species